GGUUGACCUCGGAUCAGGUAGGGAUACCCGCUGAACUAAAGCAUAUCAU
rnacentral:rRNA from 1 species